ensembl:misc_RNA Y_RNA Y RNA
GGCUGGUCUGACGGCAGUGGGUUAUCAGAACUUACUAACAUUAGUGUCACUAAAGUUGGUACACCACCCACCCCACUGCUAAAUUAGACUGGCUUAAA